AGCGGGGUGGAGCAGUCUGGUAGCUCGUCGGGCUCAUAACCCGAAGGUCGCAGGUUCAAAUCCUGCCCCCGCCACCA
rnacentral:tRNA from 1 species